rnacentral:tRNA from 1 species
GUAGCUCAGUUGGUUAGAGCGCUGGCCUGUCACGCCAGAGGUCGCGGGUUCGAGCCCCGUCACUCC